rnacentral:rRNA from 1 species
GAUGAACGCUGGCGGCGUGCCUAAUACAUGCAAGUCGAGCGAACAGACGAGGAGCUUGCUCCUCUGACGUUAGCGGCGGACGGGUGAGUAACACGUGGAUAACCUACCUAUAAGACUGGGAUAACUUCGGGAAACCGGAGCUAAUACCGGAUAAUAUAUUGAACCGCAUGGUUCAAUAGUGAAAGACGGUUUUGCUGUCACUUAUAGAUGGAUCCGCGCCGCAUUAGCUAGUUGGUAAGGUAACGGCUUACCAAGGCAACGAUGCGUAGCCGACCUGAGAGGGUGAUCGGCCACACUGGAACUGAGACACGGUCCAGACUCCUACGGGAGGCAGCAGUAGGGAGUCUUCCGCAAUGGGCGAAAGCUUGACGGAGCAACGCCGCGUGAGUGAUGAAGGUCUUCGGAUCGUAAAACUCUGUUAUUAGGGAAGAACAAAUGUGUAAGUAACUAUGCACGUCUUGACGGUACCUAAUCAGAAAGCCACGGCUAACUACGUG